CCCAAAAGGGCUUUCUGGAUGAGGAGAAAGCAGGAGACUGGAAGAACCCUGCCUGGGACCACAGUGGAUGAGCUGGAGAUAGAUGACCCUCACGUGGGGCCACUCCAGUAGCCAAGGAGAGGAGGGACCACUUAGACCAUGAGAUGACUACCAGUCAUGUAGCAUGGAUGAAGAAGAAAUAGCCUCCUGCCACUUGCCCCUCACAAUAUAUAACAGGCUAUUUACAAAUGAGAACAAUUGGCAUGGCAGAAAGGAGAACUACAGUAUAAGUGCCCCCCAAAUAGAGGAUCACCUGGCACCACUGGGAUGGUUUAAAUUCAUCAAAGCCUCCUCAGAAGACCUGACAGGACACCCGUGACCUAUUUCUUGUUGCCUGAGCUGUGCUAGAAUUAAAAAAAAUCCUGAUGUGAAUCCAAUCUUUGGAGACUAAAGGAAGUAAGCAACACUCCAUGGUUAGAGGCAGGUCUGUCACUACAACCACAUAAAGAAGAAGUAGCUAUGUUACCUCCUCCAGUGCUUUAGACCCAUUGUGUUGCCAUAACAAAACACCA